GUUACACUUAUAAUGCAAUAAAAAAAGUUUGGUAAUUAAUUAAUAAGAAUAAUUGAAUAAAUUUUUAAUUUUAUUGGGUGAAAUUUCUAAAAUUAAAAAAUAUUUAUUAUAGUUUUAUGAGGUUAAUAAGUUUAGGUAAGAAACUAGGAUUAGAUACCCUAUUAUUCUAAAUGUAAAUGUUAUAGUUACUUGGUUAGUAGUAGAUAUGGUCUUGAAAAUUAAAGAUGUUGGCGGUAUUUUAGUCUAUUCAGAGGAACUUGUCCUGUAAUCGAUGAUCCACGAGUUUUUUUACUUAUUUUAUAUAAGUUUGCAUAUCGCCGUAGUUUGAAUAUUUUUAAAAAAUAGUAAUGUUCAAAAAUUUUUAUUAAAAAGGAAUUCAGGUCAAGAUGUAGCUAAUAGAUAAGGAGAGAUGAGUUACAAUAAAUUUAUUUAAACGGAUUGGUAGAUGAAAUUUUAUUGAGAAGAUGGAUUUGAGGGUAAUUUUAUUUAAAUUAAUAAAAUGAUUUAAGCUCUAAAAUAUGUAC
rnacentral:rRNA from 1 species